UUGACAAUUUAUAACGCUUGUUAUUUGGCGGCAAUCGCAGGCAACAUUGGGAUGGAGGAGGCAGAAGUGGGGGUGAGGGUUCGAACCCUGGGCGGCGAGAACAGCAUAAUCAAAAUUGGCAGAGAAGAGACUGUGAAGGACCUGAAGGCCAGGCUUCUUCUCCACCAUGCCAAUCUCACUCCGAACUUUCAUCUUUACUUGCGGGGGUCUAAAUUAGAUGUGGGUGCUCAAAUGAGUUCUCUUCUGUUGCAAGAUAGUGAAUUUAUGGUCCUCAUUCCAUUUACAAAGAAGCAGCACCCAAAUGAUAUUGGUAUCAGUGGAAUAACUUCAAAAUUAGAUAUUCCUGCAAAUGAUUACAAACAAAAUCUAAUUGGGGAUAAUAGUGAUAGCAUAUCACAGUUGUGUUGUAAAGGAAAGAUAUCAGGGACAGAUAUUUCUGAAUCUUCAGGAAAGCAUACUCGAGCCGUUGCUGAUGCUGCCUGGCAUGAUAUUAUUUCAGAUCUUGAUCUGUUGAAUACUUCAUCAAAAUUUUCACCUGAUGUGUGGUGUUCAGCCAACGCCACCAAAAGUGUAGUGGGAAAAAGGAAUGAAUUGCAUGAUAAUCAAGAAGGGGAUGGGAGUAGACCUGUUGGUCUUUCAUUAAAUUCCUUUAGAUUGAAUGAGCUUAGAAAUGUUAAACAGGAUAAGGAUUCAGACAGAAAAAGGAAAAAAGUGAAAGGUAUAAAUCAAGAUAAAUCAUCAGCAAUAACAGAAAACUUAACUAAGAAUUCUGGGUCUGCAUGUGUUGAGAUCCUUGAUGAAAGAAGCCAUGCACUUGGUGAACAGGUUAUCAAUUCAAAAACAUUUUUGGCAAAUGAUGCACAAGAAGUUUAUUCUUCAAGGCUAUCAAAGCUCAUUAGGGAUACAGAUGUUGAGUUGAGAUCUCUAUGUGGGAGUUUGAACAAAAAUCUUAGAGAAGAGGAAAAUGCUGGAAAGCAAAGGGAAGUUCUGUCUUAUCCUCCUGCUUUACAAAGACCGAUCAAGAUCUUCAAGAUUCUGAACACUGUUUAUGGGUUCUUGGAAAAACAGCACAUGCAAACUACUUGGAAUAAUAUCAAAGGAGCAUUGAAGCAGCUCUUCUGUCAUGGAUUUGAAGAAGUUACUUUGAAGGACAUUGAGCAACUUGCAAAACUUUGCCCAAAGGUGCUUGUGCUUAGUAGUAGGGCUGUGGAUGGAGAGGAUUUGACAUUCUUUAUUGAUUUGCUUCAUUCAUCAAGGAAAGGAAUGCAUGAUCAAUUGAAUCCAUUGCAUGAUGUUAUCCCUGGUGGCAAGAAAGUAUCAGAAAGAACUAUAAUUAAUACAAUCCAGAAACGGCAGAGAGCGUUUGAGAAAGAUUUACUAGAAGCUAUACAAUAUUGGCAGGAAACAAAAGGUUCUAGUGAUAAGGCAUUCGAUGCAGUCACUGUAGAAGAUUUGAUAUUGGCUGCAAAAGAUAUGGAUCAAGUCACUACAAAAAAUUGCAUUCGUGGAUGUGCUUCCCCACCAUUUCCAAGAACAUCACAGGGGCAUAAUAAACAAUAUCGCUGUUCGGAGACUAAGGAAUUAAUGCCAUUUGAUAUGGUUGACCAUUUGAAGAAAGGAUUGGGGUCUUGUGGACAGGUGGUACAUGUCGAAAACAUCAAUGCAAGGAAAGCGAAGUAUGGGGUUCCUUCUAUAACAUUUUCAGAAUCUACUAAUGCUCUCCUUAAAGGAAUGGGUAUAAGUCGCCUGUAUAGUCAUCAGGCAGAAGCAAUACAAGCUGCCGUAUUGGGAAAAAAUGUUGUUGUGGCAACUUCAACUGCCAGUGGAAAGUCACUUUGCUACAAUGUCCCAGUUCUGGAAGAGCUAACAACAAAUCCCUUGUCUUGUGCGCUAUAUCUUUUUCCAACAAAGGCUUUGGCUCAGGAUCAGCAUCGGGCUUUAAUAGAAAUGACGCAAAGAUUGGAAGUUACCAUAAAUAUGGGUAUUUAUGACGGUGAUACUUCUCAAGGUCAUCGAAUCUGGAUUCGUGACAAUGCUAGACUGCUUAUUACCAACCCAGAUAUGCUUCAUAUGUCAAUAUUGCCAGUACACAAAAAGUUUGAGCGCAUCUUAUCAAAUCUCAGGUUUAUGAUCAUAGAUGAAGCUCAUAUAUACAAAGGAGUUUUUGGGUGUCACACUGCUCUCAUUUUGCGAAGGAUGCGCAGGAUUUGUCAUCAUUUAUACGGAACUAACCCAACGUUCAUCAUCAGCAGUGCAACUGCUGCAAAUCCUCGUGAACAUGCCAUGGAACUUGCUAAUCUGCGAGAAGUGGAAGUGGUGCUAGAGGAUGGGAGUCCAUGUGGCUCAAAGCUUUUUCUCCUCUGGAAUCCUCCAUUGAUUGUAAAUCAUAAGCGAAAGACACAAAAAGGUGUCAAAAUGCAUGAUCCAGAUAAUAUGAACAUAAACGUUAAGCGUUCAAGUGCUAUUAUGGAGGCUUCUUUCAUCUUUGCUGAAUUGGUUCAGCAUGGAUUGCGCUGCAUAGCCUUCUGCAAUACUCGUAAACUCAGUGAGCUUGUCCUCAACUACACGCAUGAGAUUCUAAGGGAGACUGCACCACAUUUAGUCAAUUCAAUCUGUGUGUAUCGAGCUGGCUACACUGUUCAGGACAGGAGAAAGAUUGAGAGUGAUCUCUUUGGAGGAAACGUUCGAGGAGUUGCGGCAACAAAUGCUUUAGAGCUUGGAAUUGAUGUGGGUAACCUUGAUGCAACCUUGCACCUUGGCUUCCCCGGCAGUGUUGCAAGUUUGUGGCAGCAAGCUGGCAGAGCAGGGAGGAGGGAAAAGCCCUCCUUGUCUAUUUAUGUGGCAUUUGAAGGACCACUAGAUCAGCACUUCAUGAGAUACCCUAAUAAACUGUUCUCAAGACCAAUUGAACAUUGCCAAGUGGAUGCUUAUAAUAAACAGGUGGUAAAACAACAUCUAGCUUGUGCUGCUUUGGAAUACCCUAUUCAUGUGGAACAUGAUGAGAAGUUUUUUGGUUCUGUAUUACAUGAUGUUAUUUUCGAUCUUACCCAGAGAGGAUAUUUAAGUAGGUGUUCCAAUGGUGUACCAAAUGAUGAGUCUUUACACUACAUUGGGCAGGAGAAACACCCUUCCUAUGCUAUCAGUAUUCGGGCAAUAGAUCCAGAGAAGUACAGUAUAAUAAAUCAGUCUACAGAUGAAGUAAUAGAAGAAAUUGAAGAAAGCAAAGCCUUCUUUGAGGUGUAUGAAGGUGCUGUCUACAUGCAUCAAGGGAAGACGUUCCUUGUUAAGAGUUUAGAUCUUUCUGCAAAGAUAGCUGUGUGCCAAGAGGCAGAUUUGAAAUACUAUACAAAAACUCGUGACUUCACGGAUAUUCAUGUAAUUGGUGGUGACCUUGCAUAUCCACUUAAAAUUUCAGGACCGGAGAAUCGAGCAACUACUGCUCAAGCAAAUCUGUGCAAAGUAACUACAAAGUGGAUUGGAUUCCGCCGUAUUUGGUGCAGGAGCAAUGAAGUUUUUGAUACUGUGGAUCUUUUUCUUCCCGAGUACUCAUUUGAAUCACAAGCAGUCUGGAUACGAGUGCCGCAUCAGAUCAGAAUAGAUAUUGAAAAGCAAAAUCUUUCUUUCCGUGCAGGCCUGCAUGCCGCUUCUCAUGCAUUGCUCAACAUAAUGCCAUUGUAUAUUAUGUGCAACCCUUCAGAUUUAGGGACAGAAUGUGCCAAUCCACAUGACAGCCGUUAUUUCCCAGAGAGGCUUCUGUUAUUUGAUCGGCAUCCUGGAAGCAUUGGUAUUGCACCACAGGCACAGCCGCUCUUCCCUGAACUGCUUCAAGCGGCCUUGGAGCUGCUGAUUCAAUGCGAGUGCUCAGCUGGUACAGGUUGCCCAAAUUGUGUUCAGAAUUUUUCUUGUGGCGAGUACAAUGAAGUUAUAGAUAAGCAGGCAGCCAUUUGCAUUCUAAAGGCUGUCAUUCAAGUGGAGGAUUUAUACAGAGAGGGAUUGAAGUGAUAUGUAAGAACCUCAGCAACAGAUUAAAAGGUCCCUACAUCCAUAGAAUCAUGUUACAUGGAGUUUCAAGGGGAUGAGAAAGGGAUGGGGACCAGUUUUGCAUUACAGUGGAAUGUUUUAUUGGAUUUAGGAAGCAACGAUCGCAAUGAGUUGUAGGGACAGGGAUGACAAUGGAUGGCAGAGGGAGAGAACACUUUGGGGAUAUGGAUGACAAGAGUUGUGGGGACAGGCUUUCAGUCCAAUAAAAAAAAUCCAGAUUUAGGAAACAACAAAGGCAUGUGAAUGGAAGUUUGGAACUUCUACAAAGGGAUGAGGAGCAAGUUUGCAGUACAAUAGAAUGUUUUAUUGGAUUUAAGAAGCAAGAAUGGCAAUGAGUUGUGGGGACAGGGAUGACAAUGGAUGGUAGAGAGAGAGAACACUUUGGGGAUAUGGACGACAAGAGUUGUGGGGACAUGCUUUCAGUCCAAUAAAAGAAAAAAUCCAGAUUUAGGAAACAACAAAGGUUCAAUGGAAGAUUGUCACCCAGUUAAAAUAUAAGUGCUGAUUAAAUUCUAACAUGAAGUUUCAACAAAAUCUUGCAUCAUAGUUGAGUGGAGCGAACCUCUGAACUGCAGGACAUGUUUAUUCUUUUCAAAAUCCAGAAUCAGCAAGGUUGAAGGACAGGUGCUAUUUGUAUGUGAUGUACAUUUUAGAGAUAAAGAGAUAUGCUCACUCAUUUAAAGAAGAGACAUGUUUUC